AAGGGGGCAGCAGGAACAAAUACAAAGUUUGGGAUGUCUUUGAUAAUGUGACUAUGCCAGAUCCGAAUGAGAAGGGAAAAAUGUUAUCAAAGGCAAAGUGCAAAUACUGUAAGAAGAUGUAUGCUUACAUACAAGGGUGCACAUGAUGGAACCCGUAGAUAUGUGGAAGAAGAUGAGGAGGAUGACAUUGAGAAUAUUUCAUUUCCAAAAAGCUUUGUAGAGAGUAACUAGCUGAAGAGUGGAGACAUCAGGACAUAGAGCUGGACUUCGCUCUUGCUUGCUGGAUGGUGCCUGGGCGCCUGGCUGCCUGCUUUUGUGGAAUGCUUGGAGCUGGACUUGGCUGUUGCUUGCUGGAUGGUACCCGGCUACCUGCUUUUGUGGAAUGCUUUUCCAGUAGAAUGCUUUUGUGGGUUGUGGCUGCUGCCUCGAAAUGUGUUGCCUCUGAAGUUUUUAUCUGUAGAUGAGUAGACAAAUGUUUAGCUCAUUAGUUGUUUUUUAUCUUGCGGUCUUGCCUGUGUACUGAAGUAUAAACCAUAUGCAAAGACUAUGUCUGCAUGAAUA